AGGUAAUGAAAAACUGAUGGAGUUUCCAAGUGAUGGUGAUGAAAGUAAUAAGAUGCUAGUGGAUGAUGUGACUGUACACUGAUACUGGGAGAUACAGAGACAACUCAACAGUCAAAUGUAUGGAAAUGGAAAAUGCGGAUGGGUGAUGCGCACAUUAGAAGGCGUUGGAAGUAAUGUGUAGUGUAUGAAGAAACUAGUUGCAGAUCAAUGAAGACUUGACUAUCAAAACUCAUUUUAUCAAGGUACUACUGGAAGGACCCAAUCGCUAAGAAAGAACCUUAGCUUCAAUGUAAACACAACAAAUAAUCACUACAAUAUUAGUAACUGUAUUUUCAUCUUUUGGUCCCUAUCAAUAAAAACUACCUACUCAUAA